AGACUAUAUACCUUGCCAUGUUUUACUUUGCUGUUCCUUGCAAUUACCACCUUACUUUAUGUAUGUUACCCUCUCAGGGCUCCAGUGGUGUAACGUAACUAUUUUUACCACUUGCGAUUCGGGCAAGUUAGACAUGAAAAUUGGUUGCCAGAAGUAAAAUUCACUUGUCAUCAGGUCUAGUUUUGCUCUCACAUACUGUAGUAGCAAUAUUUGAAGCAAAUGAUUGCAGUAAGGAUUAAUUAUAAUCACCAUUCUAAUCUUAUGUUUUCCUUUGCAAAGUCAUUUGAAGACUUAAUUACGAAGUGUUGAUUUCAGCUGAUGUACUAACAAAGAAUCAAGAACAGAAUGCAUAACAUAAACAAGCAAACCGUUUGGCAAACCGUUUAGCAAUAGAACUUGCCCGAUCGGGCAACCAAGAAGCAUCUCCUACUUGCCCUUAGUGAUUUUUACUUGCCCCAGUCAAGCGUUAUCACUGGGCUCGUUAAUUCUAUUCAGUGCCUGCACGAAAAAUUCAUAACUUCACGAUGUGCCUGCAAAAAUGCAUUGUAUUUUAGGUUUAUAGAGCUAAAUACAGUUGAACCUGUAUUUAGGGGGUCACCCUUGGGAUUUCGCAAGUGACCGCUUAAUACAGGGUGACCGCUCAGUGCAGGUCCAAGUACCACGGUUCAAAAGGGUGUUAUCGAGUCCUAAUAAAAACAAGAGAACUGAACAUGACGAACAAUACAAAACGACAUAACCUUGCUAAGUUUAGCU